UCGAUAUCCACUCGAUGUGCGACACUCAGAUGCGACUUGGGAGGGCGUGGCCAAGCACCGAAGGCCUACUCUUACUUAGAAAUCUGUUCCUCCGGAAAGCCAAGAAAGCUGUUAUUGGGCUUGCAUCAAAAUCCUUCACUGUCGUUUCAGAUGAGUAUCAAGCAUCACACUAAUGAGGUGGCACCAUGGCUCAGUGGUUAGCACUGCUGCCUCACAGCACCAGGGCCCUGGGAUCGAUUCCAGCCUCAGAUCUCCAUGGGAAUUAGAACAAAAUCUAACCUUCAAUGAGUGUAUGGAUCACUUCUUUAUGGCCCAUCUCACAAGCCCGGAAAAGUGGUGUAUGUUUCAUCACAUCCAUGGCAUCCACUUGUGCCCCAUAUUUCAACAGAAGCUUCACUGUGCUAACAUGACCAGAGAGGACUGCAGCAUGUAGAGCUGGAUGCAUUGAAAGAAGAAAUAUUUGUAUCAAAUGGACAUUUUGACAAAAUGUAAAUAACACACACAAGUACACAGAAAUGGACAGAAUCACCCAGUUUAAUUUCUUAACAUUAAGGAAAAUUUUAAUUUAUAACGAGUAAACA